rnacentral:misc_RNA from 1 species
GAUGAAGAACGUAGUGAAAUGCGAUAAGUAAUGUGAAUUGCAGAAUUCAGUGAAUCAUCGAAUCUUUGAACGCACAUUGCGCCCAUUAGCAUUCUAGUGGGCAUGCCUGUUCGAGCGUCAUUUCAACCCUUAAGACCUGUUGCUUAGCGUUGGGAGCCUACAGUACUGUAGCUCCCCAAAGUUAGUGGCGGAGUCGGUUUCACACUCUAGACGUAGUAAUUUUUUCUCGUCUGUAGUUGAGCCGGUCCCCUGCCGUAAAACACCCAAUUUAUCAAGGUUGACCUCGGAUCAGGUAGGAAUACCCGCUGAACUUAAGCAUAUCAAUAAGCGGAGGA